UUAAAUUGAAGAGUUUGAUCAUGGCUCAGAUUGAACGCUGGCGGCAGGCCUAACACAUGCAAGUCGAACGGUAACAGGAAGCAGCUUGCUGCUUUGCUGACGAGUGGCGGACGGGUGAGUAAUGUCUGGGAAACUGCCUGAUGGAGGGGGAUAACUACUGGAAACGGUGGCUAAUACCGCAUAACGUCGCAAGACCAAAGAGGGGGACCUUCGGGCCUCUUGCCAUCAGAUGUGCCCAGAUGGGAUUAGCUUGUUGGUGAGGUAACGGCUCACCAAGGCGACGAUCCCUAGCUGGUCUGAGAGGAUGACCAGCCACACUGGAACUGAGACACGGUCCAGACUCCUACGGGAGGCAGCAGUGGGGAAUAUUGCACAAUGGGCGCAAGCCUGAUGCAGCCAUGCCGCGUGUAUGAAGAAGGCCUUCGGGUUGUAAAGUACUUUCAGCGGGGAGGAAGGUGUUGCGGUUAAUAACCGCAGCAAUUGACGUUACCCGCAGAAGAAGCACCGGCUAACUCCGUGCCAGCAGCCGCGGUAAUACGGAGGGUGCAAGCGUUAAUCGGAAUUACUGGGCGUAAAGCGCACGCAGGCGGUCUGUCAAGUCGGAUGUGAAAUCCCCGGGCUCAACCUGGGAACUGCAUUCGAAACUGGCAGGCUUGAGUCUUGUAGAGGGGGGUAGAAUUCCAGGUGUAGCGGUGAAAUGCGUAGAGAUCUGGAGGAAUACCGGUGGCGAAGGCGGCCCCCUGGACAAAGACUGACGCUCAGGUGCGAAAGCGUGGGGAGCAAACAGGAUUAGAUACCCUGGUAGUCCACGCCGUAAACGAUGUCUACUUGGAGGUUGUGCCCUUGAGGCGUGGCUUCCGGAGCUAACGCGUUAAGUAGACCGCCUGGGGAGUACGGCCGCAAGGUUAAAACUCAAAUGAAUUGACGGGGGCCCGCACAAGCGGUGGAGCAUGUGGUUUAAUUCGAUGCAACGCGAAGAACCUUACCUGGUCUUGACAUCCACAGAAGAAUCCAGAGAUGGAUUGGUGCCUUCGGGAACUGUGAGACAGGUGCUGCAUGGCUGUCGUCAGCUCGUGUUGUGAAAUGUUGGGUUAAGUCCCGCAACGAGCGCAACCCUUAUCCUUUGUUGCCAGCGAUUAGGUCGGGAACUCAAAGGAGACUGCCAGUGAUAAACUGGAGGAAGGUGGGGAUGACGUCAAGUCAUCAUGGCCCUUACGACCAGGGCUACACACGUGCUACAAUGGCGCAUACAAAGAGAAGCGACCUCGCGAGAGCAAGCGGAGCUCAUAAAGUGCGUCGUAGUCCGGAUUGGAGUCUGCAACUCGACUCCAUGAAGUCGGAAUCGCUAGUAAUCGUGGAUCAGAAUGCCACGGUGAAUACGUUCCCGGGCCUUGUACACACCGCCCGUCACACCAUGGGAGUGGGUUGCAAAAGAAGUAGGUAGCUUAACCUUCGGGAGGGCGCUUACCACUUUGUGAUUCAUGACUGGGGUGAAGUCGUAACAAGGUAACCGUAGGGGAACCUGCGGUUGGAUCACCUCCUUACCUUAAAGAAGC
rnacentral:rRNA from 1 species